rnacentral:rRNA from 1 species
AUUGAACGCUGGCGGAAUGCUUUACACAUGCAAGUCGAGCGGCAGAACGGGGGCAACUCUGGUGGCGAGCGGCGAACGGGUGAGUAAUACAUCGGAACAUGCCCGGUAGUGGGGGAUAACACUUCGAAAGAAGUGCUAAUACCGCAUACGUCCUGAGGGGGAAAGCGGGGGAUCGCCAGACCUCGCGCGAUUGGAGUGGCCGAUGUCAGAUUAGCUAGUUGGUGGGGUAAAGGCCUACCAAGGCAACGAUCUGUAGCUGGUCUGAGAGGAUGAUCAGCCACACUGGGACUGAGACACGGCCCAGACUCCUACGGGAGGCAGCAGUGGGGAAUUUUGGACAAUGGGGGCAACCCUGAUCCAGCCAUGCCGCGUGAGUGAAGAAGGCCUUCGGGUUGUAAAGCUCUUUCGGCAGGAACGAAACGGUGUGCGCUAACAUAGCGCUCUAAUGACGUUACCUGAAGAAGAAGCACCGGCUAACUACGUG